rnacentral:lncRNA from 1 species
AUAAAAUACCGCUCCUUCCAUAUUGAUUGUGCUUUGGCAACUAGAUGCAGUGCUAGGCUUCACUCUGCAAGGUGUUUAAAAAGAAAAACAGGUUUACCCAGGAUUUAUCAUGGAGUGGAAUAAGAGUGCCUCUCUCUCUAGAUGGGAACUUUGCUUCAUGGGACAUUACAAAUUUGUGGCCCCUGAAGAGGCAAGCAAUAUGUUUCCAGCAUUGGCUGGUCAGUUUUGCACCAUGGUAAGUUUGAAAUCCCUUUGUCACAUUAACAGUACACUAGGUGCCAUACUAAAAGAAGAAUGCAUCUACUGCAUUGUAGCUACGUGCUAUCCUGUAGCAACCAGCAGAGAUACUAUUAAGCAGCAGUGAUUAAUCUCUUCACAGCAAGAUUCCCCACAGUGAGAGCUAAGCUAGAGGCUGAAGAAAUAUGGAGAUUUUUUUUCCACAUUAUUUUGCUGUGCACCACAAUAAGGUUUCUUUUAAGGUCUUUCAGCUCCCAUUAAACAUGUUUCUUGGGACUUCAAAAAGCUUGAAUAAAUCAAGUUUGCUCUGUGAAUAUUUUAACCUU